rnacentral:rRNA from 1 species
AGAGUUUGAUCCUGGCUCAGGAUGAACGCUGGCGGCGUGCUUAACACAUGCAAGUCGAACGAGCCUUCGGGCUAGUGGCGGACGGGUGAGUAACGCGUGAGAAUCUGCCCUCAGGAGGGGGAUAACGGCUGGAAACGGCCGCUAAUACCCCAUAUGCCGCGAGGUGAAAUGAGAAAUCGCCUGAGGAUGAGCUCGCGUCUGAUUAGCUAGUUGGUGGGGUAAGAGCCUACCAAGGCAUCGAUCAGUAGCUGGUCUGAGAGGAUGAUCAGCCACACUGGGACUGAGACACGGCCCAGACUCCUACGGGAGGCAGCAGUGGGGAAUUUUCCGCAAUGGGCGCAAGCCUGACGGAGCAACGCCGCGUGAGGGAUGAAGGCCUCUGGGCUGUAAACCUCUUUUCUCAAGGAAGAAGAACUGACGGUACUUGAGGAAUAAGCCACGGCUAAUUCCGUGCCAGCAGCCGCGGUAAUACGGGAGUGGCAAGCGUUAUCCGGAAUUAUUGGGCGUAAAGCGUCCGCAGGCGGUCUUGAAAGUCUGUUGUUAAAGCGUGGAGCUCAACUCCAUUUCAGCAAUGGAAACUAGAAGACUAGAGUGUGGUAGGGGCAGAGGGAAUUCCCGGUGUAGCGGUGAAAUGCGUAGAUAUCGGGAAGAACACCAGUGGCGAAGGCGCUCUGCUGGGCCAUAACUGACGCUCAUGGACGAAAGCCAGGGGAGCGAAAGGGAUUAGAUACCCCUGUAGUCCUGGCCGUAAACGAUGAACACUAGGUGUCGGGGGAAUCGACCCCCUCGGUGUCGUAGCCAACGCGUUAAGUGUUCCGCCUGGGGAGUACGCACGCAAGUGUGAAACUCAAAGGAAUUGACGGGGGCCCGCACAAGCGGUGGAGUAUGUGGUUUAAUUCGAUGCAACGCGAAGAACCUUACCAGGGUUUGACAUCCUGCGAAUCUUUUGGAAACAGAAGAGUGCCUUCGGGAGCGCAGAGACAGGUGGUGCAUGGCUGUCGUCAGCUCGUGUCGUGAGAUGUUGGGUUAAGUCCCGCAACGAGCGCAACCCACGUCUUUAGUUGCCAGCAUUGAGUUGGGCACUCUAGAGAGACCGCCGGUGAUAAACCGGAGGAAGGUGUGGAUGACGUCAAGUCAUCAUGCCCCUUACAUCCUGGGCUACACACGUACUACAAUGCUACGGACAGAGGGCAGCAAACUCGCGAGAGCUAGCAAAUCCCAUAAACCGUGGCUCAGUUCAGAUCGUAGGCUGCAACUCGCCUACGUGAAGGAGGAAUCGCUAGUAAUCGCAGGUCAGCAUACUGCGGUGAAUACGUUCCCGGGCCUUGUACACACCGCCCGUCACACCAUGGAAGUUGGCCAUGCCCGAAGUCGUUACUCCAACCCUUGUGGAGGAGGACGCCGAAGGUGGGGCUGAUGACUGGGGUGAAGUCGUAACAAGGUAGCCGUACCGGAAGGUGCGGCUGGAUCACCUCCUAA